UACGUAGGUGGCAAGCGUUGUCCGGAUUUACUGGGCGUAAAGAGCGCGCAGGCGGUCGGAUAAGUCGAAUGUGAAAGCCCCCGGCUCAACUGGGGAGGGUCAUUCGAUACUGUUCGACUCGAAGGCAGGAGAGGGAAGUGGAAUUCCCGGUGUAGUGGUGAAAUGCGUAGAUAUCGGGAGGAACACCAGGUGGCGAAGGCGACUUCCUGGCCUGUUCUUGACGCUGAGGCGCGAAAGCUAGGGGAGCAAACGGG
rnacentral:rRNA from 1 species